AAGAAGAAGAGGAAAGGGGCGGGGCCCGGGAAAAAAAAAAAAAAAAGGCCGGAGGUUUGGAGCGCGCGCCUUUGCGCUGGCUGAGCCGCGCGCGGGGAUCGGAGUGUUCCCACGACCCGCUCUCCGCCUGGUGGCGAGGCGCGGGCGAACCCGGAGCAGGGCGGGGAUGGCGCGGCGGGUGAAACACCGAAAGGAAACUUUCGCUGGGCGCUGCGCUCGACUCCGCCCGCCUUCUGCGCUGCGUGCCUGGGAAAGGAAGGGCGAGCGCGGGGCUGGGGCUUUCUCUCUUUCGGCGCUUCCGCUGGGUCUGGACUUUCUGAUGAAGCGACAGGUCGCGAGAGAGGUCAAGCAACUACGACAUGAGAUGAAUUGGGCUGAGACAGACCGACUGGCCCAAAGUCAGCCAGCUGCUUUUUGUUGCACUCAGGAUUUCUGCUCUCAAAUAUUCUCAACCCUGCGAGGGUGGACCUGCAAAUAAUACACCGUUCAGGAACGUCUGCAAGCAAUUUCAAUCUUUAAACGGGAAGCAAGGGAGUGAAAAGAAGCAACCGUAUACGCUACCCUUAUCUUGACAUCUGGCAAAAACCUAACAGUUGGGAUCUACUAGACUUUCAUUCUGCGGCUUUAAGCAAAUAAAUUCUGUCAUUCUCUGAAACCAAAUCCGGUGGCAGAUGAUGAAAUGAUAAUCCAAAGCACCCAACUUCCAAAACAAAGUUGGGAGAGCUGGUUUUAAUUAAUGCUAUUGGAAAGGAGCAUUAUAUGAUGUGAGAACGAAACUCCCCUCCCCCCCCCAAGCCACAUAUAACCCUGGUAAAGGCUGCCUGAGCAACUAACUUGUGGGUUUCAGCCUAUUUCUAGGAUAAUAUGAAAAUAUUUGUCCCAUCUACCUGGUCACCAAACAGCUGAGUCCAACAGAAGCUAAGUCCUUCCUUUGCUUCCAGGAUAAACCCGCUGUUAAGCUGCAUCUGUUGGCGUUUAAUUUUGAGAUAACUUUUUCUGCAUAUUUUUUUUUUUUUUUAGUUUUCACUUGAUUUGAUGAAAGACGGUUUAUUUUAGACAUUCUUUCUAAGACGAGAAUUGAACUGCUUGUGCCUGGAAUAUGCAAAAAGACCAAGCAAGACAUGAAAAAAAAUAGCCUGCCUCUGACUGGAUAACCUCUACAGGGGUCUUCAGCCUCCAUGGCUUCCCCUCAUUUGCAAUCAAAUCCCAGGGAAAAUUUCAGGAAUAAGCAUCUUUCCUGGGGUUUUUUUUUUUUUUUCCCCAGUAGCAUCUCUCCAGCAAAGAAACCCAGAAAUGACCUGGAUUUGCAAAGGAAUGCUGGUGUGAAACUGGGAAAAGUCUUGAAGAGGGUCAACCCAUUCCUUUGUUGUAGACCUUUUAUUGUAAACAUUGUAGAAUAUAGAACAUAGAAUCAUAAGGCUGGACGGGAUCUCAAAGGUCUUCUAGUCCAACCCCUUGCUCAAGGCAGAAGACCUUACACUAUCCCGGUCGAAUUUGUCCAAUCUCUUCUUGAAGACCUCUAGUAAUGGAGCAGCCUAACUGCAGGAGGCAAAUUAUUUCAAUGAUUGUUUUCACUGUCAGAAAGUAGUAGUAGUAGUAGUAGUAGUAGUAGUAGU